UAGGGAAUCUUCCACAAUGGACGCAAGUCUGAUGGAGCAACGCCGCGUGAGUGAAGAAGGUUUUCGGAUCGUAAAGCUCUGUUGUUGGUGAAGAAGGAUAGAGGUAGUAACUGGCCUUUAUUUGACGGUAAUCAACCAGAAAGUCACGGCUAACUACGUGCCAGCAGCCGCGGUAAUACGUAGGUGGCAAGCGUUGUCCGGAUUUAUUGGGCGUAAAGCGAACGCAGGCGGAAGAAUAAGUCUGAUGUGAAAGCCCUCGGCUUAACCGAGGAAUUGCAUCGGAAACUGUUUUUCUUGAGUGCAGAAGAGGAGAGUGGAACUCCAUGUGUAGCGGUGGAAUGCGUAGAUAUAUGGAAGAACACCAGUGGCGAAGGCGGCUCUCUGGUCUGCAACUGACGCUGAGGCUCGAAAAGCAUGGGUAGCGAACAGGAUUAGAUACCCUGGUAGUCCAUGCCGUAAACGAUGAGUGCUAAGUGUUGGGGAGGUUUUCCGCC
rnacentral:rRNA from 1 species